rnacentral:rRNA from 1 species
GUUGUCACGCUAGUGGCACGGCUGGAUAGCUAACUACGGAAAGGAUAAACGCUGAAAGCAUCUAAGCGUGAAGCCCUCUCUGAGAUAAGGUUUCGUAGCUACUUGUAGCGAGAGUCCCCUGGUAGACUACCAGGUUGAUAGGCUAGAUGUGUAAGCACCGUAAGGUGUUAAGCUAACUAGUACUAAUGGACGAACGCUUGACCAU